UACGAGGGGGGCAAGCGUUGUUCGGAUUUAUUGGGCGUAAAGGGUGCGUAGGCGGUUCGUUAAGUCGGAUGUGAAAGCCCUCGGCUCAACUGAGGAAGUGCACCCGAAACUGGCGAGCUUGAGUACGAAAGAGGAUCGCGGAAUUCCCGGUGUAGAGGUGAAAUUCGUAGAUAUCGGGAGGAACACCGGUGGCGAAGGCGGCGAUCUGGGUCGAUACUGACGCUGAGGUGCGAAAGCGUGGGGAGCAAACAGG
rnacentral:rRNA from 1 species